GAGACAAAGUUCCUCAAGCCAGCUUCACUCUGUACUACAAUCAUCAAGCAAAUGGGUGGAUGUUUAAAAAUGAAACAAGAACUGCAUUUUCUUAAAAAUCACUCUAAACUAAUUCUAUAAGGUUGUUAUAAGGAACUAAUGAGCCAACUUGUUGAGGUGCUUGGAACCAUUCUGGCACAGUGUUGGGCUAUGUGUUUGUUGAAUGAAUACAACCAUGAUAAGAAGUUUGAAUUUUUCAUCUGAAAAGUCAGAGGCAACUAUUAAGUUCAUCUCCCAUGGCUUCGAGAAGAAGAUGCUCCUGAGGUUUCAGUUUGUAAUUGAAAGAACAAGGGUUGCUGUAUCAUUGGAUCCUGGAUGACUAGGUCUACAUCAUCACCUACCAGAUGCAACUGGGGCCUGAGAGGCAUUGCUACUGACAUUUCGGAGAGACCUGUGAUCACUGUAGCCACCUGGUAUCUAGAAGAUUUCCAUGCAAGUUCUAAACAUGAAUCUUUUUCAUCAUGCUGAGAUAUUACUUGAAUAUUAGCAGAAAUAAUUCAUUCACUCACUUGUUAGAAAUGUCAAGGUAAGCAUUGUCAAGAAAAAGAGUACUAUUAGUGCUGAAGUGCUCAACUGCUCUAAAAUUGCCUUUAAAAAUAUGUGCAGACUACAAAAAAAAAAAGCAAAAUCUUAAUUACCCUAUAUAGACUUAGAAUUGAUGCGUCAUUGAAGACUGAAUCAAUUGGAAAUGUCUGGCACUAAUUUUUCCUCAUACUUAUUCAAAUAUACAAAGAGGUGUAAUUAGAUAACAUGGUUGUUUAUGGUUGUUUGGUUGGCAGGUUGUUUUUUUUGAGACUGGGUCUCACGGUCACCCAGGCUGGAGUGCAGUGGCGAGAUCUCCGCUCACUGCAACCUCUGCCUCCCGGGUUCAAGCGAUUCUCCCACCUGGGCCUCCUGAGUAUCUGGGAUUACAGGUGCACGCCAUCAUGUCCGGCUAAGCUUGUAUUUUUUGGUAGAGAUGGGGUUUCACCAUGUUGGCCAGGUUGUUCUCAAGCUCCCGACCUCUGGUGAUCUGCCUGCCUCAGCCUCCCAAAGUGCUGGGAUUACAGGCGUGAGCCACCGCACCCAGCCAGCUACACAUAUUUGAUAGACCAGAAUGAGGCAUAUUUUUAGAUAGCCAGAUUGGAUGUUCAAGAAUAGAGAAAGAGCAUUGGAUAUUUAUGGAGCAAUAAAGUAUUUGAAUAUGGGUUCAAUUUAAAAGAAUUUAAAAGAAAUAUGAACUGUCCUGCAGAUUCCCUUUGAUGGCAGUCUUCUAAAAUGUGGCUCUAGGGGUUGUAUUUGAACCUCUUUCAGGCAAAAAUAAACCAAACAACAGAAAACUACUUUCUACAAGUCCAAAUAAAAAGUAAAUAAUUUCUCCUACACUAAUAUGAUUUUCAUUAUAUAUGAGAUUUAUUGGAAGAAGCUUUUCCGUUUUUAUUUCUUAGCAGAUGGAUAGAUCUCUAGAGAUUAAAAACAGUAUUUGACAUUUUUAGGAAAAACUAUCAAGAAACCCUGAAGAUCUUUAGUAUGAGAGUUAAUUUCUGACUAGUCAUUAGUGACACCAUUAGUUAAGCAUGUUGAAGUUACUUUCCUUUUAGAUUGCAAUUCCAAAGGUGGCAUUUGAUUGUUUCAGACAUUGAGCAAAUAGCCAUUAGCUUCUGAAACUAUUGCUGGCAUUGCUUAUUUCAAUCCAUCAAAGCCCCUUCUUGUGAUAAAUAUAGUAUUUCAAUCUAACUUCUCCCUUUGAGUCGUGCUGAACAUCUGCAUAUCUUUUCAAUAAAAUGGCCAGGACUUAAAAUGGCUUUUCCCUGAGGACAUUUGAUCCUUCUAUUGCUAGUACAGCCCUAAGGCUGGAUGUGCUGGGUCAGGCUGGGAGGCAGGGGCUCAGGGGUUAUGUUCUUUGAUACACUCCAAUGCAAUUUCUUGUUCUUAUUUUAGCUUCUUGCAAAUUAAUUAAUUCAUUAAUUCAUUCUACUUUGGGGCUUAGGCCAUCUGACCUUAUCAUUGUUAUGUAACUAUUAUUUCAUAUUGUUAUAUGCAGUCUUCUGAGUCAUUUCCUUGCAUUUUUUUCCAAAAAACUGAUAUAUACAGUGCAAACCAAAGGAUCUUCACUCAUCCCUCCUCACCUAAAAAUGCAUCAAUGCCACACUCAUUCUUUCUUCCUUCUAGUACUAGUGAAUAAAAUAUCCAUCUAAUUAAAGCAAUUUCAAACAACAUUCUCUGGAUCCUUCCUAUUUGUCUUCUCUUUCCCCCAAAGUUCCCAAGGAAACUUGCUUGAUUUCAAGACAAUUGAAGUGUCACCUUCUCUGUGAAGCUAGCGCUGCCUAUACCAGGUUUAAAUCAGUGUCCUUUUAAGCUUUACUUCUUUGUCUCUCUCUCUCUGCUCUCAUUUAUUACAUUUAUCACACUACAUUGUAAUUUUUCUUCUAGCUUUUUUAACACACCAUAAAGGAGAGAAAUGUGUCUUUUUCAACCAUUUAUCCCUCAGAUGCAGCAAAAAAUCUACUCAGUAAAUUAUUGUAGAAUGUUAGAGAAAAAUAAGUAAAUGGCGAUUUCAAUUAAUUGUUCUCUUUUUCUCAUUGAUGGGUAAACUAAUAAUAUUUAAACUUUAGUAGUAAAAUAUGGCAAGUAGAAUAUGCAUAUCGAAAAAGACAUGCAAUUAUCUGUUACCAAAAAUUUUCCAUUUGCUAUGUCAAAUAUAAGAAUUUACAAAAACAUACAGGAACUGAAAUUUAAGCAAUUUUGUCAGAUCACAUUACCUGUACAGAAAGAUGUGUAUCUGUAUUUAAAUUAUUGACUGAAAUUUUAUUGGAAAGUCCUGGAAAUUGUCUGUAACAUUAUCUUCAAGAUCCAAAUAUCCUGAAAUAUACCACAUCUCUUUUACUGAUAUAUAAUUAACAGGUAACAAAAUACAAAUUGUACUUUUCUACUGAUAUUUCUGCCUUAACUGUAAAUGAAGUUCACAUUUAUUGUUUGACUUUCAAUUCCUCUACUAUUAAAAUAAGCAUAUUGUUUCCUGUCACCAAUUUUCUACAUGAAUUAUAAAGUUAAUAUGUAUCUAAUGAAAAUCUUUCUUAUAGUUUUACAUGGUUAAAAUUUAUACAUGGGUGAGUAAAAAAGUAAGUCAAUUAUGAAAUACCUUGCAAAUUGACACAAAUAUUUAAUUAUCAACUUGGUGGUGGGGGAAGAUGACUAGCUGUUGGUUUUUAUUACAAAAAACACAAUUCUAUUUUAAAAUGUUAGUUUUUAUUAUUUGGAAAAAACUAUAGUGGGCGGCAACAUCAGCAAUUAUUAACUAUCAGUGAAUUGUGUUACAUGGCACCCUAAAAAAUGUUGAUUGGGACAAGACAAUACAAUUUGCGGACUUUAAUUAUAAAAGACAAAUACAGUAUUAAAAAAUGUUAGGAAAGUACUCUCAUAAGAACUGCAGACAUCUUUAUCAGCUCUCUUUUUUUCUCUUUUUGAUAAUAAAAAGAAGCACAACUCAGCCAGGUGCGAUGGCACACACCUCUAAUCCCAGCACUUUGGGAGGCCGAGGUGGGUGGAUUGCUCGGGCUCAGGAGUUUGAGAGCAGCCUGGGCAACACGGCAAAACCCCAUCUCUAC